GUUAGUGGCAGACGGGUGAGUAAUGCGUAGGAAUCUACCUAGUAGUAUGGAAUAGCCAUUAGAAAUGAUGGGUAAUACUGUAUAAUCCCUGCGGGGGAAAGAUUUAUCGCUAUUAGAUGAGCCUACGUUAGAUUAGCUAGUUGGUAAGGUAAUGGCUUACCAAGGCUAUGAUCUAUAGCUGGUCUGAGAGGACGAUCAGCCACACUGGAACUGAGAUACGGUCCAGACUCCUACGGGAGGCAGCAGUGGGGAAUAUUGGACAAUGGGCGAAAGCCUGAUCCAGCUAUGCCGCGUGAGUGAAGAAGGCCUUCGGGUUGUAAAGCUCUUUCAAUAGGGAAGAUAAUGACGGUACCUAUA
rnacentral:rRNA from 1 species